rnacentral:lncRNA from 1 species
AUUGAAAUCUGAUGGCUAAGAAAACUAUUUGUAUAAAGCUUCUUAAUUGUAGAAUUAAAUGAGACUUAGUUAUAAGACGAUAUUUGAUUAAAAUUUAACUAAUAGUUAUGCAAAAAGUUAACAUGAGAAGCGCAUGCGCAGAUAGAGGUCAUUAUUCAGAGAUAUUCAAGUAUAAUUGAAUAAAUUUCUGGGUGUUUAAUGAUGAAAAAGGGUGGGCAUGUUAACUCUUAGCAUAACUAUUGGUUUAUAAAAAUUUUAAUCAAAUAUCGUCUUAUAACUAAGCCUCAUUUAAUUUUACAAUUUUUAUAAACCAAUAUUAUGCAAGAGUUCCCAUGAGAUUUGAGAGCCAAUUUACUUGAAUAAAUGUAAUGUAUACAUGUUUUAUAAGAUAACAAUAAUGUAUUGGAUUCCCAAAUUACUAUAAAAUUAAUUAAUUAAAGUGUGGUACAAGAGUAUUUGAAUCAUACUUGCAGUACUAAUCAGCUGACACUUAGUUAUAUAUAUAUAUCCAUAAUUGUUUCAACG